AGCAGACAGCAGCAUCUCAGUGUGUAACCAAAGUGUGCCAAAGGACUUUCACCACCAUCUUUGUUUAAGGUGAGUUUGUGUGUAGAAUACAGUAAUCAAAUGUGCCCAAAUUAGCAUGAUGAUUUACCAGCUCUCUUCGAUAGAAACAUGAAGAAAAUUUGUUCCUAUUUCCUACGCAUACCAACACAAAUCACUGAACUAGAAUUAAAACUUACCAAGAGAAAGUGUAAGGUUGUAGCUAAAUUAUUAAGAUUAUCGAUUGUUUUCUACUCUAAUUUCAAGCCGAAAGCAGACAACAGCAUCUCAGCGUGUAAUCUAAGUGUGUCAAAGGACUUUCACCACCAUCUUUGCUCAAGAUGUCGAUCAUAGCAACCACAGUAAUUUUGGCUUUCGGGUGAAAUUCCUGAGCGACCAUUCCCACAAUGGCGUUUUUACAAAUUGUAAUCAUUCACCUGAUUCUCACAUCGCUGUGCUGUUUAAUCUGCUGGGUCCAACGAAUCUAACGAAUUUCGAUGAACAGAUUCGGUGAUUCAACUGACUUCAUCUGUUCCGUCGAAGCUGUUUAUAUUAAAUGACUAUGAAGAUUUAGUUUCAUAAGUGUUGUAAAGCUGCUAGCUGGUAUCUACUACCUGUAAUAAAUC